rnacentral:misc_RNA from 1 species
GAGGAAGUAGCUCCUUUGUCAUGCCAGAAUCAACACAUUCCUGCUAGGAAAGUUUCAUUCAGUGGCUUCUCCAAAGAUCUGUGUGCUGCAGUACAAGACGGGUCUGUAGCUGAUGUUGAUUCUUCUUUGGCAAUCCUCAAGAAGAGUGGAGGAAAUAUCAAUUAUAGGAAUGACUUUGGCCUUACACCUCUUCAUAUUGCAACCUGGAGAAAUCAUAU